AGUACCCCCAGGACUCGAUGGAAGGAAAACUGACCAAGCAUAACUUACUUGAACAUAUAACUAACAUCAUAAUCCAUAAUACAUUUAUAGAAGCAUUCCAUCAAAACAUGUGAUAGGCAUAACUUGUACAUACAUGGGGAUUUCAUGAUAUCAUACUAGUUGGGCAUUGUUCCUUCAUCUAGGCAUUUAAUCAAACACAUGGUAGGCAUAG
rnacentral:lncRNA from 1 species